rnacentral:rRNA from 1 species
CCCUAUGGGGUGCAGCUUCUGGGUGCUGAUGCCCAUCUCCGCUCCUUUGCCGAACUCAUACCCGUCCGUGAAGCGAGUCGAUACAUUUACAAACACGGCCGCUGCGUCCACCUCAGUGGUGAAUCGACGGGCUGUGGUGUAGUCUUCGGUGACUAUAGCCUCGGUGUGCCUGCUGCCAUACCGCGCUAUGUGUUUUAUAGCUUCAUCCAGUCCCGCAACCACUUUGAUCGCCAGGAUCAGGUCGAGAUACUCGGUAGCCCAAUCCUCAUCCGUAGCCGGCUUCACUCCGGGCACAAUUGCGGCAGUUCUCUCACAUCCACGGAUCUCGACCCCGGCCUCGACAAGACGCGCACACAUGGUUGGUAGGAAUUGGCGGGGGGGC